rnacentral:rRNA from 1 species
AAGCUCGUAGUUGAAUUUCGGGAUUAGUACGUCGGUCGUGCCUUAGGUACGUACUGGUGUUACUGGUUCCUACCUUCUGACGAACCAUCAUGUCAUUAAUUUGGUGUGGUGGGGAAUCAGGACAGUUACUUUGAAAAAAUUAGAGUGUUUAAAGCAGGCUCGCGCUUGAAUACAUUAGCAUGGAAUAAUGAAAUAGGACGUUGAUCCUAUUUUGUUGAUUUCUAGGAUUGACGUAAUGAUUAAUAGGGAUAGUUGGG